ACGAGACGACGGCUGGUUCGCUCCUUCCUCUUCCUACAAACCACCUGUAUUUCGUCUGCGAAAUUACAAGUGUACCCUCCCUCCUCCACUCUGCUCUGCGAGUGAUUCAGUUGCAAGUCAACCAAAAAUGGCAUCUCAAGAUGAACAAGACCCUCGUAUUUCCAAAAGUUCUUCUGCGAUUCGUAUCAUCCCAAACUUCCCAAACCUGGUAUAAUGUUUCAGGACAUAACAACUUUUGCUUCUUGAUACCAAGGCAUUUCGUGAUACUAUCGAUUUGUUUGUUGAGAGGUACAGGGGGAAAGAUAUCUCUGUUGUUGCAGGUAAAUCUCUUCUCUUAAUACAUAGU